rnacentral:lncRNA from 1 species
GAGGAAGGGGAGGAGGAGGAAGAGGAGGAAGAGAAAGAAAAGGAAAAAGAGGAAGGAGAAGGAGACGGAGGAGAAGAAGAAGAAGAAGAGGGAGAAGAAGGAGACGGAGGACAAGAAGAAGAAGAAGAAGAAGAGGGAGAAGAAGGAGAAGUAGGAGCAGGAGCAAGGAUGGUGCACACAGGACAGUUUUCCAGCUGGGUCUCUUACUGAAUCGGAAGCUCAUCAAUUUGUUAGACUGUUUGGUCAAUGACCUCCAGGGAGCUGCUGAUCUCUGUCUCCUCUCACCAUCCUUCAGUACUGGCAUUACAGGUGCAAGCCAUCACACCUGGUUUCUAAGAAGAUUUUGGGUACCUGAACUCAGAGGUCUCUGGUGAGGCUCUUCUGAGCUCUACAAGUUAAAUGUUUUCAACCCUGAGUUCUUUUCUGUCAAGAGAUUCAUGAAAGGAAAUAUCUGGGACAGCAGCUUAUUUAUCCUCAAAUGUAGGCUGAAUGUCAGCCAUCUUGCCUGGCACUGUCUCAGACAGCAGAAGGAAGGCUGGGCUGGCCCCAGAGACACGGCUCAAUGAUGCUAAGAGCCAUAGUAGAGUUUAGUCAUUUCUUAGUGCGGGGAGCUCUAUAGUUCUUAAAAUAAGGGCAUUUUGAAUAAGAUCACACCAUGCACCACCAAAAUUGAAACAAAGAAUAUUCUGAGCACACACAGUUUAAUUAUCACAUUUAUUCUAACAGAUUUUAAAAUCAUUACAGUUCUGUCUCACCUACAGGUGUUUAAGUAGAAAGGAAGAGUUCACCGCAUCAGAGUGAGGUAGGGAGUCUUCCCACAUGUGGAGACAGGCGCACACCUGUCUUCAUCUGUAGUGAUUGAGAAGUGCGGAUCAUUCAGGAGUGGAGCUUAUAUUGACUGCAGCAUGUAUCCUGAGACACUAAAAGUGGGAGAGAGAAAAAAAAUGCAACUGUCUAGACAGGAAAGUGAGCCAUCAUUUGUGUCUAUUACACAGAGUCAGGAUUAUCUUUGUUAAAUACGUUAUUUUUUCAUGUAUGUUUACAUGUAUGGUGCAUGCGUAUGAGUGUAGGAGUUUGUGUGUCACUUUAUGUCCAUUGUAUUUUUCUAUUGUUUUCUGUCUCAUUGCCCCAAGAAAGGGUCUCUUAUCAUCCAGAAAGUUACUGUUGUUGGUUGACCAGCAAGCUCCUGGGAUCUGUUCCUCCCUGCCUCUUCCCCAGGGCUUGAGUUACAGGCGUGCACCGCCAUGGAAGCUUCUCACAAGGGUACUGGUGAUUUGAACUCAGAUCUCCAUGCUUGGAGCAAGUGCUGUUACCUACUGAGCUGUCUCCCCAGCUCCUUGAAUAUUUUCUUGAUUACACUUUUAUUGCUAUGCAAGUGUCCUGCUUAUCUGCUCACAACUUUAUGUAAGUUAAAGAAAAUGUGUAGCAUAUUCAAAGUCAUAUAUCCCACUGAUAGUCCAUUAAUAAUAGCCUCAUGAUUUUCUAUAAAGAACAUUUAUAUAGUUGUAUUGUAAUCGUAUGUGCAUUAUAAAAAUGUGCUAAUACAGACUCAGCCUUCUCAUAAAUUUGACAAUAAUAAAUUUUUCUGCUUCUGUGACUAGCAGCCAGAACACAAGAAUGUAGUUAGAAGAAUGAGAAAGGAAUGUGUAAAUGCCAAUAAAAUUAAUUAUCUGUUGGCUUGUU